AUUGAACGCUGGCGGCAGGCUUAACACAUGCAAGUCGAGCGGGGUGAUGGUGCUUGCACUAUCACUUAGCGGCGGACGGGUGAGUAAUGCUUAGGAAUCUGCCUAUUAGUGGGGGACAACAUCUCGAAAGGGAUGCUAAUACCGCAUACGUCCUACGGGAGAAAGCAGGGGAUCACUUGUGAUCUAUCGCUAAUAGAUGAGUCUAAGUCGGAUUAGGUAGUUGGUGGGGUAAAGGCCUACCAAGGCGACGAUCUGUAGCGGGUCUGAGAGGAUGAUCCGGCACACUGGGACUGAGACACGGCCCAGACUCCUACGGGAGGCAGCAGUGGGGAAUAUUGGACAAUGGGGGGAACCCUGAUCCAGCCAUGCCGCGUGUGUGAAGAAGGCCUUAUGGUUGUAAAGCACUUUAAGCGAGGAGGAGGCUCUUUUGGUUAAUACCCAAGAUGAGUGGACGUUACUCGCAGAAUAAGCACCGGCUAACUCUGUGCCAGCCGCCGCAGUAA
rnacentral:rRNA from 1 species